AUAUGCAAAACAGAAAACAAGAAUAAAAAAGAAAAAAGAAAAAUCGAAAACGAAUGUCACAUCGACAGAUAUCUUUCCUUUGCUUUGUUC
rnacentral:ribozyme from 1 species